AAAAUUAUUCACAUUUUUAAUGUUGAUGUUUAUAAUUUAUUCCUUUUCUCCUUUUGGUGUGUUGUAAAUUCAUAUAACAAUGCUUCUUACAGGUUCAUCAUCACAGAGAAGCAUUUGAAUUUUAUCUUUUUUUCAAAACUGAACUGCUUUCCCACUACUUUCAACUUGAAACAAACUUUGGCCGGCUAGCUGUGCUGCUAUGGAAGUCUUUUGUAUCCAUCUCACUCAGUGGGAAACAGCAGGAUCAAACUUCUCUGCAAAAGCAGUUUCAACAUUGUUUAACCAUGCUGCAGUUCCUCCGAGUAGCAUUUUGUUUGCUGCAUUUUGCCACAUUUCUCUGCCUGAUGCUAAUUUACACAUGCUUGAGAGUCACAGCCUACCUUUCAAGGAGUUUGGCCGUACCACAAUUUAUAAACUCAUCAUGCUUAUGAAGAGUGGAAAUUUCCUGAAACUUAUAUCUAUCUAUGUGGCCUGUGCUUUUGACUGAUUUUACUGUUAGACUGAUACCUAUUUUAAGAACAAAUAAAAUUUAUGGCAAUUUACA
rnacentral:lncRNA from 1 species